rnacentral:rRNA from 1 species
GAGUUUGAUCGUGGCUCAGGAUGAACGCUGGCGGCGUGCCUAAUACAUGCAAGUCGAGCGAACGGACGAGAAGCUUGCUUCUCUGAUGUUAGCGGCGGACGGGUGAGUAACACGUGGAUAACCUACCUAUAAGACUGGGAUAACUUCGGGAAACCGGAGCUAAUACCGGAUGAUAUUUUGAACCGCAUGGUUCAAAAGUGAAAGACGGUCUUGCUGUCACUUAUAGAUGGAUCCGCGCUGCAUUAGCUAGUUGGUAAGGUAACGGCUUACCAAGGCAACGAUGCAUAGCCGACCUGAGAGGGUGAUCGGCCACACUGGAACUGAGACACGGUCCAGACUCCUACGGGAGGCAGCAGUAGGGAAUCUUCCGCAAUGGGCGAAAGCCUGACGGAGCAACGCCGCGUGAGUGAUGAAGGUCUUCGGAUCGUAAAACUCUGUUAUUAGGGAGAACAUAUGUGUAAGUAACUGUGCACAUCUUGACGGUACCUAAUCAGAAAGCCACGGCUAACUACG